rnacentral:rRNA from 1 species
AGAGUUUGAUCCUGGCUCAGGAUGAACGCUGGCGGCGUGCCUAAUACAUGCAAGUCGAGCGGAAACACUUCGGGUGUCGAGCGGCGGACGGCUGAGUAACGCGUAGGAAUGUACCCCAAAGUGAGGGAUAAGCACCGGAAGCGGUGUCUAAUACCGCAUGUGCUCUUCGGAGUAAAGCUUUAUGCGCUUUGGGAACGGCCUGCGUCCGAUUAGCUAGUUGGUGAGGUAAAGGCUUACCAAGGCUAUGAUCGGUAGCUGGUCUGAGAGGAUGAUCAGCCAGACUGGGACUGAGACACGGCCCAGACUCCUACGGGAGGCAGCAGUAGGGAAUUUUCCACAAUGGGCGAAAGCCUGAUGGAGCAACGCCGCGUGCAGGAUUAAGGCCUUCGGGUUGUAAACUGCUUUUAUAUGUGAAGAUUUUGACGGUAGCAUAUGAAUAAGGAUCGGCUAACUCCGUGCCAGCAGCCGCGGUCAUACGGAGGAUCCAAGCGUUAUCCGGAAUUACUGGGCGUAAAGAGUUGCGUAGGCGGUUAAGUAAGCAGAGUGUGAAAUGACCUCGCUCAACGGGGUGCCCAUGCUCUGAACUGCUUUGACUAGAGAGUGGAAGAGGUUGCUAGAAUUCCUGGUGUAGGGGUGAAAUCCGUAGAUAUCAGGAGGAAUACCGAUGGCGUAGGCAGGCAACUGGUCCAUUUCUGACGCUCAGGCACGAAAGCGUGGGUAGCGAUCGGGAUUAGAUACCCCGGUAGU